rnacentral:rRNA from 1 species
UACGGAGGGUGCAAGCGUUAUCCGGAUUCACUGGGUUUAAAGGGUGCGUAGGUGGGUUGGUAAGUCAGUGGUGAAAUCCCCGAGCUUAACUUGGGAACUGCCAUUGAUACUAUCAGUCUUGAAUAUUGUGGAGGUUAGCGGAAUAUGUCAUGUAGCGGUGAAAUGCUUAGAUAUGACAUAGAACACCAAUUGCGAAGGCAGCUGGCUACGCAUAUAUUGAUACUGAGGCACGAAAGCGUGGGGAUCAAACAGG